rnacentral:rRNA from 1 species
GCCCUUAGAGUUUGAUCAUGGCUCAGAUUGAACGCUGGCGGCAUGCUUUACACAUGCAAGUCGAACGCGAAAGGGGGCAACCAUGAGUAGAGUGGCGCACGGGUGAGUAAUGCAUCGGAACGUGUCCUGUAGCGGGGGAUAACUUAGCGAAAGCUAGGCUAAUACCGCAUACGUCCUACGGGAGAAAGUGAGGGACCGCAAGGCCUCACACUAUAGGAGCGGCCGAUGCCGGAUUAGCUAGUUGGUGGGGUAAAGGCUCACCAAGGCGACGAUCCGUAGCUGGUCUGAGAGGAUGAUCAGCCACACUGGGACUGAGACACGGCCCAGACUCCUACGGGAGGCAGCAGUGGGGAAUUUUGGACAAUGGGGGCAACCCUGAUCCAGCCAUGCCGCGUGAGUGAAGAAGGCCUUCGGGUUAAAAAGCUCUUUCGGCCGGGACGAAAUCGCAUGGGUUAAUAGCU